UUACGACCACAUCACGUUGAAACACCGAUUCCCGUACGAUCAUCGAAGUUAAGCAACACUGAACCUGGCCAGUGCCUAGAUGGGUGACCGUUUGUGAAUACCAGGCGCUGUAAG